AAUUCUCCCGCGCGCCACCUGGCCAAACAUUAUAUAUUAUAUACGUAAAACUAAUUAAUAAUAUAAAUAUAUAUUAUAUUAUAUAAAUUAUAUACUUAUAUUUAUAUAUAAGAAAUGGGUAGCUUCCAGAGGAAGCUACCCAUUUCUUCUCUCUCGCUCUCUCUCUCUCUCUCUCUCUCAUUUCUUCUCUCUCUCUCUCUGUCUCUCCGGCGAGCUCAGCCGGCCGGUGUGGUGAGCUCCGGCGUCGUCACGUCUCCCUCUCACCGACUGUCUCUCUCUCACCGAUUCCCUCUAGCUCUCUCGCUCUCUCUCUCUCUCUGUCUCUCUCUCUCUGUCUCUCUCUCUCUGUCUCUCUCUUUCUCUCUCUUUCUCUCUCUACUGGGACGUCCCUCCGGCAGGGGUUGGCUAGGCCGUCGGUUCCCUUUCCUCCGGUCGGGUAUAUAUAUAAAGAAGGAGCCCUAAAUCCACAACCUACCGUCGACAAGGAAUAUGGACAAGUCUUGGAUGUCAGCACCUAGGGGUACGACAACGUAUAACGACGGGUGUAGGGCGUUUGUGACAUUUGCCGUUCGUAACUGUACGGCCGUCGAUGGAAAAAUUUACUGCCCAUGCAAGUAUUGUCGAAAUAACCAGCGUCACACUCCUGAUUACGUUCUUGCCCACCUGACUGGAGGUCGGGGGAUGAAUCCGGGAUACCAUUUGUGGUAUAUGCACGGUGAGACUACGACUGGAUCCGCUAUUCCUGGUCAGUGUUCGAGUUAUCACAGUGGCACAGAGGCCGCUGACCAUAGCACUGAACAUGGUGA